AAUAUUUAACGACGAAUUUACGUCGAAUAAGUUUACGUCGAUUUUACGUCGUUUUUAUGUUGGAGUUCUUUCGUUGUACUUUCGUUGGAAAUUUUACGUCGCAUUUACGACGAAUAGUUUCCGACGAUUUUACGACGAUUUUCCGGAGUUGGUAAUUUUACGACGAUUUUACGACGAAUUUGGUUUCGUCGUUAAUUCGACGUAAAUGCUGUUUUACGUCGAUUUUACGUCGAUAUAUGCCGACGUAAAACCCGAUCUUUCUUGUAGUGAGGCGGUGCCGGCUGCAGAACAACGACCGGUUGGGAAACCGUCCGUUGUGUUCCCGAGGACUCCGGGAUGGCUGAUCCGGUCGCCGAGGUAGACGGGGCCGUACCGUCAGAAUCGACGAGCUGUCGAUAGUGAAAUCUCUUAGCCCGAGGAGCCAGCGAGACAGAAUCUACAAAAUUUUAAAAAAUUUGUUACUAAUUUUUCAAAUAUUUAUUAGAAUUUACAAAAUCCGGGCCUAUCUAAAUUCCGAAACCUAAAUUUAAAUUCCGAACCUAAAUCUAAAUUCCGAACCUAAAUCUAAAAUAAUAUGUAAUGAAAUUAUUUUUUUUAAAAAACUUAUAAUUAAUUGGUCAGGAGAGUAGGGAGUGAGGGAGAGAUUUAGGUUUUUAGAGAGAGAGAGAUUUAUAGAGAGAGAGGGGGAAGAGAGGAAUAAGCGACGAAAGGGAAAAACUCGCGUCCCUUAUAUAGAUUUUGUGAUCGUCGUAAAGUUACGACGAUUUUACGACGAUUUGGUUGUAUAACAGUCGGUCCACUGCAUGACACGACACGUGUCGUGAUGUGAUCGUCGUAAAAUCGUCGUAACUUUACGACGGUUUUACGACGAUUAAACCCAAAACCGUCGUAAAAUCGUCGUAACAUCUAAACAUUUAUAACCUCGUACCUCGGAUCAAGAGCCUAUCCGGUGCAAACGGUACGACGGUUUUACGAAGGUUUUGGGUAUAAUCAUCAUAAAACCGUCGUAAAUUUACGAUUAUAUUACGAUGGUUUUACAAUGUUUUUUAAAAAAGUGAGUAAACCCUAAAUCUUAUAAAUGGGGUAUUGUAUAAAUAACAAUGCAAAGGUUAUUGUAUCCUAACAUAUAAUAAAAGGUUUACAACUUUGCAUGUAUGAUGGAUUUAUGACAUGAGAUAGUAAAAAAUGAAAUUCCGUAAUCUAAUAUAUAACCUUUCACUUAACAUUUUCGAAAACAUGCAUGAACUUGUACCUAUGUAUGUUUUUUUUCAAAUUUUUGAUUUUGAUCAGAUUGAUAGCAUUUCAUAUAAAAUAAGAUAACCAAUCAAAAAUAAUUGUGAAAUACCUUACAACCAAUAAGAUAUAAAAGAUUCAAAUUCUUGGAUUUCAACAUUACGACGCUUUUACGACGAAAUAAUGUAUUCGUCGUAAAACCGUCGUAACUUACGAUGAUUUUACGAAGGUUCGUCGUAAAGACGCCGUAAUGUUGAAACCCUAUUCAUUCAGGGCUAAAACCUAGACUUAGGGUUUAGGGUUUAGAAAAACCGUCGUAAAAUCGAAUUUUAUGGUUUUAAAAAAAUUCAAACAAACAAAGUUACAAAUUACAUAAUAACAAAUAUUCACUAAAUACAAUGCAUGAAACUCAAUCAGAUUCAUCUUCCUCUAUUAUUUCAUCACCAUCACCGUCUUUUUAUGCCAAAUCGUCAUCAUCGGUUUCAGCAAACUCAUCAUCACCUUCUUCUUCUGUAUCAUCGGAAAGAUCUUCAAGUUGCCUGUUCCGAGGGUCUAUUAAGAAAAUCUCCUCAUCAACAUCUGGUUCAGACAGAUCUACGCAAGUGUCCUGUUGAAGUGGAACAUUCUCAACCCCUACAAUCUUGCCCCUCGGAGCCACUUUAACUACAGCUAACCAUGAAAUUCAUGUUGAUCGAACUCGAGGGUAUGGCAGAAACGUUACCUGUUCUGCUUGAGAAGCUAAUAUAAAUGGCUCAAACCUGUUGUACCGUCGUGAUUUGUUCACGUCAACAACUCCAAACUUGUUUAGACGUACCCCUCGUCCAACAGUUGGAUCAAACCAAUCACAUUUUAAGAGAACAGUUUUCAGCCUUAACAAUCCAGGAUACUCUACUUCAAUUAUUUCUUGCACAACUCCAUAAAAAUCGAUUUCACCCCUCACACAAACUCCAUAGUUUGUUGUCGCCCGCUUUGCACCGUGAUAGUAUGUGUGAAAACAUAGCCCCGAGUGAAAUACAUUGAGGCUGUAGUUAUUUUUGCCAUCGGACCUAGUAGUAACUCAUGGAACCAUGUUGGAAAUUCAUCCGGAUCAUUUGGGUCCACCUAAUAAGAAAAAAAUUCCGCUAUGAUUUCUUGAUUUCGAUAUAUAGCAAAUUAAAGUAGUACUCUUUUUAUUAAAAUUUUAUACGUACUUGCCCUUUUAACCACUGGGCAUAGUGUUGAUCUUUACGAUCAUUGAUUUCAGUUUCAGAAACCCUAGAUAUGCAUUCUUUAACCUCAUAAACAAAUGUGCUGAGAAAAACAACAAAUAGUUAUUAAUACUGACAACUCAUAUAAAGAUAUUAUUAAUUAAAAAGGUACCUUUCAUACGAUGACAACUCUUCACAAUUUAACAGGAUAUACGUAUGUGCACUGUGAUAAUCUUUUUCAUUGGACCACCAAAUAUCUUUUAGUUUUCCACUAAGACGUCCGAUCGGCGAGAAUAUGUCAGGUACACCUUCAACGGCAUAAGUAUGGCCAACUCCUCCAUCAUCAUAUCGACGAGUAGCUCUUUUGCGUGUUCGUACUUUCGGUGCAAAAUAGUAUGAAGUGAAGUGUGAAGUCUCUUGCGUUAAGCUUCCCGCCACAAUUGAGCCUUCCACUUUAGCUAGGUUUUUGGCUUUACCUUUAAGAUGCUUCAUGAAACGCUCAAACGGAUACAUCCACCUGUACUGAACGGGUCUACCGAGCUCUGCUUCGUAUGGGAGAUGAACAAGAAGAUGUUCCAUAACAUCAAAAAAUGAUAGUGGGAAGAUCUUUUCCAAAUUGCACAACAAGAUUGAAAUAUUCAAUGCCAGUUGUGAUAUUACAUCAACUGAUAAUGUUCGUGUACUAAGAUCCCGAAAAAAGCACCAAUGCCUCCAAUAGCUUCAUGGACGUUUUUCGGCAAGAGUUCAGCAAAUGCAAAUGGAAAUAAUCGUUGCAUAAAGACAUGGCAGUCAUGGCUUUUCAUCCCAGCAAACUUUACCCCCUUCUCAACAGAUUUGGAAAGAUUAGAGACAUACCCAUCAGGAAAUUUAACGUCAGAAGAAACCCAUCUGAACAAUGCUGACUUUUGAUCUGCACUCAACCGAAAUACAGGAACUGGUGCUUUCCCGUUUCUCAGUAGAUGCAACUCACUUCUGUUGCAUAAAUCAGGCAAGUCCAAUCUUGAUUUACCAUUGUCUUUUGUUCUUCCCGCUACGUUCAUAACUGUAUGCAUGAUAUUAUCAAAAAAGUUUUUUUCAAUGUGCAUGACAUCAAGAUUGUGUCUGAGCAGAUGAUCUUUCCAAUAAGGUAGUUGCCAGAAGAUACUUUUCUUGUGCCAAUUAUGAUGAACUCCAUAACCUUCAGGCAUAUUUGCAGGAGUGUGCCAGUUUCCCCCACAAGUUACUGUUUCUUCUGCCCUCCAAUGAUCUAUUUGCGCCUGUAUAUCAGCUCCUGUUAAAUUAACGGGUGGAGGGACACGUACACUUUUGUUCUUCAAAAAUAACCUCUUGUUCCUCCAAUAUGGAUGGUUAUCCGGUAAAAACCUCCGGUGACAAUCAAACCAACAAGUUUUUCUACCAUGUUUUAGCUGAAACGCAUCAGUUCGAUGAAGACGAUAAGGACAAGAUAGCCUCACAUGUGUAGUCCAUCCUGAUAGCAUACCGUAAGCGGGGAAGUCGCUUAUUGUCCACAUAAGCACAACCCGCAUAGUAAAAUUUUUCCUCGUAGAACAGUCAUAUGUACGAACGCCAAUAUACCAUAACUGAUUCAACUCAAAUAUGAGUGGCUGAAGAAAUACAUCGAGAGCUCGCUUCAGAUGAUUUGGACCUGGAACCAAAAUACUUAGGAAAAGAAAUUCUCUUUGCAUGCACAAAUCUGGAAGAAGGUUAUAAGGAGUUAGGAUUACUGGCCAUAAUGAAUAUUGUCUACCAGACAUACCAAAUGGACUAAAACCAUUAGUGCACAGACCAAGAUAGACAUUCCGUUUGAACUUAGCAAAAUCUGGGUAUACCAUAUUGAAGUGUUUUUGCAUGCCUUUGCAUCUGAUGGAUGAACAACUUCUCCAUCUACUUGUGUAUGUUCCGCAUGCCAUCUCAUUGAUGCAGCUGUCCUUUCAGAUUGAUAAAGCCGUUUUAACCUAUCAGUUAUAGGGAGAUACCACAUACGUUGGUACGGUAUCCUUUUACGCCCACCAGUUUGAGGCCUGUAUCUUGGUUUAUGGCAAAAUCGACAUUCCUCCAGCUGAUCAUCGUCUUUCCAAAAAAUCAUACAAUUGUCAACACAUACAUCUAUCAUCUCAGAAGGUAGACCAAGACUAAAAAUCAACUUCUGAAUUUCGUAGUAUGUUCCCGCUGCCAAGUUAUCCUCCGGUAGAUACUCCUUCAGAAGAUCAGCCCAAUCAUCCAUGCAAACCUCAGCCAGGUUAUGAUCUGUUUUAAUUGACAUCAUCCUAGCUGCCAACGAUAAUUUUGACAAGCCUUCUCUACAUCAUUCAUAGAUUGGCUGAUUAGCAUUGUCUAACAAAUCAUAAAAUCGUUUGGCAUCUACAUUAGGUUCCUCAACAGCAUUACCCGUAUGCGUUUCAUGAAAUGCAUCAGUCACCAUUUCGUGCAUCCUAUCAUGAUCUACACUUUGGUCAUAUUGAUACUGAUUAGGCUGAUGACCAUAAUUCGAUUCAUCAAUAUCAACAUGACUUUGAUAAUUACUACUACUACCAGCAUUCCCGUGAGUAUUACUGCCAUAUCCUUCUCCAUGUAGAUACCAAACAAAAUAUUGCGGCAUAAACCCUCUAUUUAAUAAAUGCGUCCACACGGUUUUGGUUAGUGUAUAUCUCGUAAUCUUGCAUUUCAAACAAGGACAAAACAUUUUCCCACUAUCUUUCGUUCUCUCCAUAUUUGUAGCUUGAUACAUAAAUAUUUCUAACCCGUUCUUGAACUCUUCUGUCAACGCCCCAUUUGAAUCUUUACGCAUAUACAUCCAACUUCUUAGCUCGUAUAUAGACAUCUUGAAAAUAAACUCAAAAUACUAUCUCUUUUUAUUGAUUAGACAAUAAAGGAGGUGGUCUCUUGUGUCACGUCUAGCCACGUGAAUGAAGUAAAUUAACCUUAUAAUAUUAUUACUUCUUUGAUUCAAAGUAAUAUUACUCUUAAUUCGGGUUUUCAGCAAUGGACAACCCAAUAUAUAAGGAUUUACAACACUAUACUAAAAUUUAAGAGACCUACAAUGGGUCUCCAAGAUGAAGAUGCUCUUAUGUUUGAAUGAUGAUGUGUUGUGAUUGAAUGAAGGAAUGAAAAUCUAUUUAUAGGAAAAUUUCGGGCUUUACAACGCUUUUACGACGACUUUUUACGACGGUUUUACAUUCAACAAUAAUAUUACGACGAGUUUAUGAAGAUUUUGCGAUAAAUUUUUUCAUCUACAAUUGUUAGGUAAACAUGUUUUAAAUGUUUUUCACCUAACUCCUUUUUCGACGUACAAUCGUCGUAAUAUGUACAUCGAAAUGUAGUCGUCGUAUAUUCGUCGUAAUUUUGCAACGAAUUUACGACGAUUUUACAUUUACUAGCAAAUCUCUUGUUAUCGAUGUAUACGACGGUUUUACGACGAUUUUACAUUUACUAGCAAAUUUACAACGUUGUAAAUUUGCGACGAUUUAAUAACCGUCGUAAUGGACCGUUGGAAAACGAUUGUUUUCUUGUAGUGAUAUUUUCGCAAGUUGGUCUAUACGCGCCCCCAAUUCUCUCUCUCAGUGGCGAAAGAAAACCUAAUCAUCCAAUUCUCUCGACGAUCCGCCGUCCGGCAUCGUCGACCCCUGCUCGUCCUCUUCAACGACGAGAUUCAUCUCAGCAAUCUCGCUCUCCCAUCAUGGAUCUGUCAGAAUUUGGAACUCCGUUUCGAAAAAAUCUUGAUAAAUCUACUGCUGCUCUCUCCACUGUCAAAACCACCGGUAAGACCUCUUCUGAAACCCCAGAUCCUCGCUGGCCUUAUCUUAGUCGCGGGACGAAGAAGACCUCUUCCCCACCGGCGAUGAGUCCAGCUGCAAGUCUGCAAACGGCGAAGGAGGAUACGCACCCGGUGGAAACAACGGCAAAAUCUUUUGAUCUCCAAGCUUCUGAACCGGCAGAGAAUCUGAGUCUCGAUGUCACAGAACAAGUGGAGGUCUCUGUUGCAGAAGGAGUUUUUCCAUCCUCUAAAUCGGCGGAUAUAGCUUUGGCUAGUCAGGGCAAAGAACUUCAUGUUGUUCAGGCUCCCAUUGCUCCUCUCAAAGGAGCCUGGGCCAAAAAGUUGAGCUUCUCCCAUGCCUCUGUCCCUAUUCCAGCUGCUUCGCAUGAAGUCCAAACAGAUUACUGGCCUUCCCUCUCUGAUUCUCACGCGGUACGUAACCGUAAGCAGAAAAUUAGUGGAACGAAUGCUCAGCAGAAUCCGAUAGUCAGAAUGGAAGAUGAUCUUUGGUUACCUUGGGCAGCAAAAAUGAACCCGCUUUCCAGGAACCUAUACAGAGCAACUGAGCCAGAAUAUUUAGAGGAUGGAACUCCUAAGGUAACAAUUCCUCAGCAUGUUCUGUUACGAGGUCUAGAGAAUCAGAAAGAGUAUAUUCUAGGUCAGUUCUAUAGAUGUUCACCUCCUCCAGGUGGACUAAUCUAUGCAGUUUUCAAUAAGUUAUGGGGAAGAAAAUGCAAAAUCACCAUUAGAAAACUUGGUGAAUCAAACUAUCUCUUCCAUAUACCAGAUGAAUCUACUAGGAUGUGGGUUCUUCAAAGAGGAUUAUGGCAUGUUGAUGAUUGCUUGAUGUUUGUGGCUUCGUGGACUCCGGAAGCAUCAUUAGCGAUCCCGGAGACCAAAACUAUUCCAGUAUGGGUUACUUUAAAAAAAAUACCUAAUAUUUUGUAUUCAAUCCCUGGAAUAAGCCACAUAGCUUCAGGUCUUGGAGCUCCUAUGGCAACUAACAAGCCUCGCUUAGACCCUAUUCUCAUGGGUGAGGCAAAGAUUCUGGUCGAGGUUGAAUUGAGUAAAUCUUUUCCAACAAAGAUAGCUGCUGACGAUGAAAGCGCUUUCUAUGGUAGAUGUGGAAUACGCUUGGUUGCCUAGUAAGUGUAGUAAGUGUGGCCGACUUGGUCACAAAAUAAAACGUUGUCUACAAACCGGAACUGGUUCACAAGUGGUAGCCACUACCAAGGAGAUUGUCACAGAGAAUGUCUUGGAGGUUGGCAUUAUGAUGGGAUCUGAUUCUACCUCUGUCCCAACAGAUGCUUUUCACUCUUCCAUUUCAGCCACUGUUACAAACCUUGAGGUAAUUCCUUCAGAAACCAUUGUUUUGCCAUCAAAUGAAUCAGUAUCCAUUGAUCCAACUUCAACUACUAUCGCCGACGAGGCUUGUCUAUCGGUACAUACGAGUAAGUCCAUUCUAGAAACUAUUGAAUCUCCUCUUUUGGAGGUUGCUCAAAUUUUAUCUUUCCCUGCAUCUGCUCGUGCUUCUGUCACUGUCCAAAGGGAGAGUGCAAUUCAAGCUGAGCCAUGUCUUGGUUCCAACCAGUUUUCUUCCUUGGUUUCUAUGGAUGGAGGAGAAGAUCUAAUUGAUGAGGAUAAGGAUCGAUUGAUCUUAUGACUCUUUCGGGUAAAAGAAUCCUUCAAGAAAGACCGGUAAAACCGUCAACCAAAGCUAAGGAAAUGGAUUGGCAAACCAUUGGUGGUGGUGGAAGAGGUAAUCGAGGACGUGGAAAACAAGGUGGUCGUGGCUAGAUAGUUUCUUCAUUUUGUUCAUUUCAGUCAAUCGAAGCGGAAGAUUCGAUUGUAUAUGGUGCACAUGUUGUACUCUAAGCUUUUCACUACUUGUAAUUUCUUUUGAAAACUGUAUGACUCAUUUAGAGUCAUGGCUUGUAAUGUUUUUUUUUUAAUGAAUAACUAGAUUUUAAUCUCGUGCAUCCGCAUGGGAAUAAAAAAAAAAAAUAUUUUCGCAAGUUUUCCUUUUUUUUAUGCGUUUCGUUAUGUAACAACUUGAUCAUUUGAUAGAUAACUUGCAUAAUGUUUAUGUACAUAUUUUGUCAGAGAGUGGUAUGAAUAUUCAUGCUCCAAUAAAAGAAACAUCAUUUUUUAAGAGAAAGAAACAUCGUUUGACUUUUCUACUGGUUAACAUUUACGUCACAUUUUAAUUUAAAAAUAACUGUCCAGGAAUACUCUAGUUUCGACACAUAUAUAUAUAUAUAUAUAUAUGACCGAUCAUUAUAAAGAAACAUGUUAACUAUUAGUCAAAACUCAAGACUUAUAAUAUUCAAUUUGGUUGAGAAAAAAAUCAAAAGUUGUUAUAUCCUUUUAACUGUUUUUAAAACAACUUGGUAACUCAGUUUCUUGUAUCAAGGACAAAACAAAAGUCGUGGAAGAAGGAAAAUUAAAAGGUAAGAGAUGCAAACAAAAUUGAACUUCGGUAAUUAAUAUUGACCUAAUAUUAAAGAUUUAAAGUGACAUGGCUUGAUUAGCUUUAUCACUCAAUUGGGUUGUUCAUAUACACAUGUUUUAACCACAUCUCGUUUAAGACUAUAAGCUUUAAAAAUCAAGCUGCAUUUGUGAGAAUUAAGACAGAGUUAGGUCUGCUUUCUGAUUUUACAUGAACUUCGCGUGAGAUUUUAUAUUAAACAAUUUACACACUUUAUGCGUGUAUGUUGAAUUUUGGUGAGAAAAUGUUAGAAGAAAAGCAAGAUUACUAUUUUAUUUAACCAUCCUCCUCUGAUUAACAUAUUUUCGUUAUUAACAAAAAAAACUCAAUAGUUAUUAUGGUUAUAUAUAUAUAUAUAUAAUAUGUUUAUUUGGAACUAUUUUGUUGACGACGUGUGUGGUAUGCAAAUAAUGGCAUGGUACCGAUAAUAUCAUGACUUGUCUAUACAAAUGUAAAUAAAAAUACAUGUAUUUUGAUCAGACAUUACUGUCAGCCGGAUGAGGAAGUACUCGAAAGAAAAGAAUUAUUGGCGUUACCAUUAAAGUAUUGAUAAAGAUAUCUUUAAUUAAUUAUAUUAUUAUAACUUCAGUGUAAUUUAGUUAUAUAACAAAUACUAAUGUAAUAUUCAAUUGUUUGGUUCUUAUCAUAAUGGUCCCAAGAUUUGGUGCAUCAGAUGGCUGUAUGCCUGUAUCUCGAGGCAUCGAUGCCAUUACGGUAAAAGCAAACUAAUGGUAGAGUAGCUAAUAAAGGUACACAACAUCAAUACCAAUUAACAUUUUCAGAUAUUCUAUUGUUUUAAGUUUUAACGUCAAAAUUAACAUUUAUGAAGAAAUCAACCUUUGUAACAAAAGAAAAGCACAUUUAUGGACAACCAUAUACUUGAGUAUUUCAUAUCCUCAAUAAGUGUUAAAUAUUAUAUCCAUUAGCAAAUUAAAAUGUGUUUAGAUAUAUGAGAUUCAAGAGACAAAUGUUUUUAAAUACUUUUAAUAUUUAAUUAUAGUAAUUAUGCAAAUAUCAGCACUUCGAUGAUAAAUUAUUAGUUUGAUUAAAGAAUGGUAGAGGAGUGACAGAUAAGUUGUAAACUCUCUCUCUCUUUUUAUUUUUUUUUCUUGGGCAAGUUAUCAUCUCUCUAACAUAAAAGAACUGGACCGGAAUCCCAAUCUAUCGCUUUCCUUGUUCUCAUCCAUUUCGUUCUCUCUCUUGACUAUUCAAAUCCAAAUUAUUAUAAAAAGAGAACUUAACUUGUAUUCUUUAUCAGAUAAAUUGAUUCAGUAUCUGAUAUUGAUACAUAUAUAUUUCGGAGUGUAUAUCUAUUAUUCAUUCCGUUUCAUAAAAUUGACUAAAAUUGAGCUGAUUUUUGAUGAACUUAUCUCUAUAUAUUUCCAUAUUAAAUGAUAAUGAUUGUACUAAUUAGUUUUUUUAACCGAUUCAUUUAUGAUAUAGAAUUACGAUUUAGUUAAAAACGUAUGUAUGUUUUUUCACUUGAACAAAACUGAAAAGGUUAUUAACUUAUUAUUACUAUCAUUUAAGCUGAAUUGAAGACAAAAAAAAGCUGAAUUACAAAAAUUAUUUCAGUCCGCAAUUUUGUUUAUCAAUAUAUACAGAUAUACUGCAUAAUUGUUUUCCACCAUUACGAUACUUUACUUUGUUACCUCUACUAUUAUAAUAGUGGACCUCUAUAUCCUAUGUAAUUUUGCAAUAAAUAGGCCAUUUAUUUGUGAAUAACUAUCAAGGUUAAAUAUUGCUAAAUAACAAAUAUUACAGCCCAUCAUUAGCUGUCUUGUUACCGAGCUAGGUGAUGUAGUUGUUAAUGCUAUAUACUGAAGAGAAUUACUAUUCAAAUUAGUUAUACUUUUUGUUUCCAUCAUUAUUUCUAUAUAAAUGGUGAAACAAGAGUUGUGAAACAGGAUCUCAAAAACAAAAACCAAUUGUAAGUCUCUUUUUUUGUCUUUUAUUACUUUUAUUAUGUUUUUUAAUUAAUGCAAAACAUGGCUACUUUUUAUAUUUUGAAAAAAGUUCACAAAAAUUAUUAAUAAUCUAAUCAAAAUUAUAUUACUGAAAAAACAUGUAUCUAUUUUUAUUUUUCUUGCAUAUAUUGAAAUUAAUAAUUUUCUUUCGAGCAUUUAGUAAACUAUAAUUUAGAAGAUAAUUUUGGACAUUAUUAUUUAGAGAAAUCAAAAUUGUCAACAGAAAUAUUUUUUUUUUAAAAAAAGGGAAGACUCAUAUACUAGUUUUUAUCUUUUUUUUAUCUUUUUUUAUCUUUUUGGAUGUCUCAUAUACUAGUUUUUAUUUAGUUUUUAUUACGAAAUAAAAAAGAGAAAGAACAAAGCAUUAAAUGAAAACCUGCAAAGUUUCUUCUUUGCACCAAAAACACACCACUCUUCCCCUCUUUCCUCACUCGCUUUGCUUCUCUUUCUUCACUUCCCAACUUCUCUCUCUCUAUCUCUCUCCACAUUAUUAUUAUAUU
rnacentral:lncRNA from 1 species